AUGUUAAUUGUCAUAAUCAUGUCGCUAGGUGCGUCAAGUAUGUGUCCCACUCAGAAAAGGACACUCUCGUGUCUGCUCGCAGGGCGUGUUGGGAAGAGGCCAAAGCAGGAGAAUGUACAGGAGCUGCAGGAGGCAGCAGUCCAGCUGCUGAACAGACACCAGAACCUCUCAGAUCUGUUUCUGGAGGUGGGGGUGAGUGAAUGAGUCCAGUCUAGACUGGGAUGGAGUCAGUGGACUGGUAGCAAGGGGCACUAUAACAUUUUGUGCCCUAAAUUAGACCUGUCAGAUUUAGACAAGUUACUUACUUUAUUUAUCCUUCUUCUAGAGUCCAAAUCCUUGCAAUUUAAUUUGCAAGGAGUACUCUGGACAGAAAAAAGCAGCCAGUGAAAGUCCCUCACCUACAAUUGGGGGUUCACUUCUGGGUGAGUUUUCAGGAUAUCUCCUCCAUCAAGGUAAAUACUUUCAAUGUGUCAGUGGUGUAUGUACUAGAAUGCACAUACACCACUGAGUGUGUGUGAGAUAAUUAUGUAGAAAUUGAUAUGCGUGUUUUCAGUGAAUGAGUUGAGGAGGAAGGCUGGGGAGCUGGGGGUCCCGGUGGCAGCCCUGUCAGUGAAGAUGGUGGUAGAAAGACUGUUGGACCUGACCGGCCAUAUCAAAGGGGACCGAGAGCAAGUGUUGCUCAACUCCACUCAAAGGGUUUGUGCUGGGAAUAAUGUCUGGAUAUGCAUCUAUGUCGAUGUUUGUUGUCCCCCACAAUUAAAUUGGCCGUCAUUGUAAAUAAGAAUUUGUUCUUAACUGACUUGCAUAGUUAAAUAAAAAAUUACAAAAAUCUAAAAAUAGAGGGGUCUGUGGAUCUGUCGCUGUACGAAAGUCAUGCGAUAUCUCAGACAGUACUGGCUCAAUUUUGACGAAACUUGGGUUAAUGAUGCGUCUUGCCAUAGAGAUUUGGCAUUUACAAAAUUACUCUGAUUGUCCCAAGGUGGAAGCUAUAGUAGUUAACUGAAAUUUGUUAGUCACAGGAUACCUCAAUUGGCCCAAGGGGGGUGGGUGCUGCGUCAUUUGUGUGGGACGACAUGUUUACUGUUGCCUUUUUUCAAGUAUGAUUUUUCAUCAUCCAACAUCUAGGCCUAUAGGUAGGGGUGAAAGUACGCCUGUCCAGUAGGGAGUCCCUGCAAAAUAAAUAGUGGAGGUUCAGUGUUCUGGUAAAACACAACCCUAGCACAAUAAUUAAAACAAAGAUGUCUGUGACCUAAGCGACUUUGAGCAUGGUAUGAUUGUCGGUGCCAGGCACGGCGGAUCCAGUGUCUCAGAAACAACCACCCUGUCAUGGGCUUUUCGCGCACGACAGUGUCUUGGGUUUACAGAGAAUGGUGCGACAAACAAAAAAACAUCUGGUCAACGGCAGACCUGUGGGUGAA
rnacentral:lncRNA from 13 species